rnacentral:rRNA from 1 species
AGGGUUUGAUCAUGGCUCAGAACGAACGCUGGCGGCGUGCUUAAGACAUGCAAGUCGAACGGUAAGGCUUGUCACUCUUCGGAGUGACUCGCACACGAGUGGCGCACGGGGGAGUAACGCGUGGGUAAUCUGCCUUCGGGUUUGGGACAACUCCGGGAAACUGGAGCUAAUACCGAAUAAGACCACGAGGUCCCUGGACCUUGCGGAAAAAGGGGGCCUCUUUUUGAAAGCUAUCGCCUGUUGAUGAGCCCGCGUCCCAUUAGCUUUUUGGGGAGGUAAAAGCUCACCAAGGCAUCGAUGGGUAGCUGGUCUGAGAGGAUGAUCAGCCACACUGGAACUGAGACACGGUCCAGACUCCUACGGGAGGCAGCAGUCGGGAAUCUUGCACAAUGGGCGAAAGCCUGAUGCAGCAACGCCGCGUGAGGGAUGAAGGCCCUCGGGUCGUAAACCUCUGUCGGAAGGGAAGAACGUAUUUUGGGCCAAUACCCCAGAGUAUCGACGGUACCUUCAAAGGAAGCGCCGGCUAACUCCGUGCCAGCAGCCGCGGUAAUACGGAGGGCGCGAGCGUUAUUUCGGAAUCAUUGGGCGUAAAGCGCGUGUAGGCGGCUGGGCAAGUCGGAUGUGGAAGCCCGGGGCUCAACCCCGGAAUUGCAUACGAAACUGCUCAGUUAGAGUCUCGGAGAGGAGGGCGGAAUUCCCGG